CUUUAUUGGAGAGUUUGAUCCUGGCUCAGGACGAACGCUGGCGGCGUGCCUAAUACAUGCAAGUCGAGCGAGUCUCUUCGGAGGCUAGCGG
rnacentral:rRNA from 1 species